CGGGAUUACAGUUUUCCUAUGGAUUAUGGGGGUAAAGUUAAACAAGUAUUCGAGUUGUGGUUUCCCCCAAAUUUGAGCAUAGCCAAACACAUAGAUUCAUGAUGUAUCUGUUUUUGGUUCCAUGUGCUCAUGAUUACACACCAUGGAAAACUGCUAGUCACCUGGAUCCCUCUUUUGGAUAUAAUUUUGAACUAGUCAAUUUUACUAUUUUCAAUCAGGUGAUUCUACUAUUUUUACUGCUAAGGUUGCUACUACAUAAGUUCUAGAUGGAAUAGUAAGAGGGUGCUUCGAAGGAUCAGGUGAGAGGGUGAGGUUCUGCACUCAUGCUGUUUUUCAAUUUUGUUUUGCUUCAUCUGGUGAUUUUUUGCAACCUCUGCACAAAUUCAUUGGCAGACUGUGCCUUGAUUGUUUUCUGAUGUGUUUAGAAGCAGUGGUGAGUGAAAAUCAAAGAGCCCUAGGGAGGCAGUGCACAUGAACAUGUGGUUAGUAAAGAUAUUUUGGGUUUGCUCUUAUCCAAACUCUUGAGGUCUUCCUAGAGGCUGCAACUACACAUUUGUCAUGGUGGUCAGGUCUCUUUGUCCCACAAAAGGGUGUUUAGAAGUUGAUGUGCCUUUCUUUUCUUCCUGCAAGUUUCUUCAGCGGAUCAACACUAUACCAUGCUCUACAUUUCUUUGGUGUUUGGCGGCCAGAAAGUUGGAUCAUCAUCAGCAGAUUAGUUGCAGCUCAACUUAGAUUUUAUUCAUGCUUAGCAUCGUAUUAGUUGUAGUAGCUCCAAUCUUUUUGUUUGGUCAGUAUAACAGUUGUGGCAAUCAUGGCUUGUAUGCUGGUAGUUUUCAAAACUUUAUGAAUGUUUGGAAUUUAG